rnacentral:lncRNA from 1 species
GCUUUUUGUACCACCAGUUAAUGACACCAAUUUUCUUAGCUAUCUAAACAAAAACCCUUGACAUUUGUUCUAGCUUGCAAGCUCUCCUUAUUCAAAAACACAUGUGUAUGGCAAAGAGAAAUGCAUUUUUGAGUAUUUUUCUGGCCUCUGUGGGAGAAGUGGAUAGAUCCAUUAAAUGGUAAGUGUUUCUUCCUCACAUGGCCUUAAACUGCCUUUCCCUCAACACGAGCUUGCACUUGUAUUAGUUUCAGUGAAAACUCCAGGCUGCUACCCUGUCCCUUUCUUUCUCUAAGGUUAGUGAAAAUAUUCCAGCUGGGAUUUAUUUUAUAGGUGUGUCCUUUUUCACAAAAAAAUGCAGCAGUCUUAGGCAAACAGGAGAACAGCAGGCAAGAGGAAUUCUUUAGCUAGCCAAUGUUCCAUAUUUUAUUUUCCAACAGAGAAUCUUAACAAUCACCCAUUGUGUUUGAAAGCCACAUGAUGAUAAUAUAAAUUCACUGAUGCAAACCAAAGAGCUACAAACCUUUCUAAAUCAACAUAAACAAAUCUCCAAAUCUGCGUGUAGACCAGCCGACAGGCGUUCCCUCUAUUUUCCUAGGAGCCUUGCCCAAGGCUGGUUGUGCUCAGAGCCACGGGUGAGUGUGAAAGAUCAGAGCAGAGCUGGGGUUCACUGCAGCAAGGCACCAGCUGCCCUCCUCAGCCAGAGAGUUUGGCUUCCUCUUUAGCUAAUGGCAGCUGAACCAUUUCUCCAGCAGUACAUUCAUACUGCCAUGUGGGAACAGAAUGCCAUCUGUGCACGUUGUGUGCCCCACAGAGGUUAUGGUGACAUUUCAGAAACCUCUAGCCCUCUUCCCAGAACAUUAUUCUAGUCUGUGAGCCUCUAUUAUUGCAGCAUAGCUAGUCUGGAGGCUCAGGGUAGGGUGUGCUGCUGAAGAGCACAGGGUCUGGGAUUCAUAAGUCCCAUCUUCAGGCUGUGACCAACAUACUCUUGUGUUUUAUGGAAUAUCAUUGCACACUUCUCUGCUUCCUGUUUUCCAUCAGUAAAGUGAAAGAUUGCUAUGUUUGGUCAAUUUAUAAACAGGCAGGACAGAGCACACCUACUGAGGAAACUGAGUCGCUCAGUAUACCUCUAAUGCACUUCAGGUAUUGCAACAUUAAAGGGCACUUACUGCACAAACUCUUCUCCGCAGAAGUAAGAGAUCUAAACCAAUUAUUUAUACUACAUGCCUUCCUUUGUACUCUGCAUCUCAACACCAUAUAUGAAUUCCACUCCCUUGUCACCAAGUGUUGUCUAGACAGUGGUUGAUUCUAAUAUGAUCA